UACGAAGGGUGCAAGCGUUAUUCGGAAUUACUGGGCGUAAAGCGUGCGUAGGCGGUUUGUUAAGUCUGUCGUGAAAGCCCCGGGCUCAACCUGGGAAUGGCGAUGGAAACUGGCGAGCUAGAGUACGGUAGAGGAGAGUGGAAUUCCCGGUGUAGCAGUGAAAUGCGUAGAGAUCGGGAGGAACAUCAGUUGCGAAGGCGGCUCUCUGGACCAGUACUGACGCUGAGGCACGAAAGCGUGGGGAGCAAACAGG
rnacentral:rRNA from 1 species